rnacentral:rRNA from 1 species
UUGUAAAGCACUUUAAGCGGGGAGGAAGGCCUGAUGGCUAAUAUCCAUCGGGAUUGACGUUACCCGCAGAAUAAGCACCGGCAAACUUCGUGCCAGCAGCCGCGGUAAUACGAAGGGUGCGAGCGUUAAUCGGAAUUACUGGGCGUAAAGCGCGCGUAGGUGGUUAAGUAAGCGAUCUGUGAAAGCCCCGGGCUUAACCUGGGAACUGCAGGUCGAACUGCUUGGCUAGAGUAUGGUAGAGGGGUGUGGAAUUUCCUGUGUAGCGGUGAAAUGCGUAGAUAUAGGAAGGAACAUCAGUGGCGAAGGCGACACCCUGGACCGAUACUGACACUGAGGCGCGAAAGCGUGGGUAGCGAACAGGAUUAGAUACCCUGGUAGUCCACGCCGUAAACGAUGUCUGCUAGCCGUUGGGGGGGCUUGUCCCUUCAGUGGCGGAGCUAACGCGAUAAGCAGACCGCCUGGGGAGUACGGCCGCAAGGUUAAAACUCAAAUGAAUUGACGGGGG